GGCAAAAUGGCUCAGAGGUUAAAGCAUCUGCCUGCAAUGCAGGAGACCUUGGUUCAAUCCCUGGGUCU
rnacentral:tRNA from 1 species